CUGGGGAAGGGAGUAACAUUUGAGAUGUAAAUAAAAAAAUUAUCCAAUGGGGGAAGAAAAAGACAAUAGUUCUUCCCAACAACAUAACUAAAACUUUUGAAAACUGGCAAAGAACAAAGGAAAUACACUUGUUAGAGCUCAUGUUCUACAAAUUCGAGCAAUAUUAUAGAUUGCUUGCUAAAUCUGUGGCAAAUGAAAGUAGCUAAACAUAAUUUAUAGAUCUUUUCAUGUAAACCUUAAAAUAAAAGAAAAAAAUCUGAGUUAAAGAAUGCAAAAAUCCUAAGAGAACACAAAUGAACUUGGAAGCAACCUAGAAAUGAAUAUGCAACUGAGACCAAAUUUAAGGGGCUCCAAAUGGAGGCGAUUUUUUUUUCAUGCAUGUGUUCAAAUUUCUCUUUAGUGAUGUUUUUUUUUUCUUGGAAUAAGUGGGACUUUUAAAAUGAGCAUGCUAGUGUAUGUAGUGCAACAAAAGACUACUCUCUCUCUCACUGCCCACCCACACACAGAAUGUGCUUCUUCUGUUAGAUGCAGCCAUUGGCCUUUAGGGCGUCCUUUCAGUUGGUAAACAGGCUACCCUCAACCCCUCCCCCUACACUGAGGGAAUGGCUAUAAACCACCACACAGAGCAUCUGUGAAGAACUGUGUGCUUAGCUACCACAGGUCCCUUAGCAGCGGCACAGUCCAUGAUCACUAAGUGUUUUCCUUACUCUAGUUUUAACAUUCAACAGCUCUUGAGUUCCUUGUCAUGGAUCCCAUGAAGGACAUGGGUCUCAGUCAGUCUUACCACACUAUGUUCAGUUGUUACCACCAUGCUAAACUGAAUGUGUGCAUUCAUUUACUUUUAGAAACCAUUAACUGUAUUUGGGGAAGGAAAUGAUUUUUACACAACAAAAUGUUCCUGGUCAUCUUGAAUUCACAUUGAUAGUUUCUUCCUUCAUUGUAGCCCUGACUUGUUACAUUCGGAUAAAAUGAAUGAAAUUAUGUUACUUUGGAUGUAUAUCAUAGAAACAAAAUACACAUACAAACAAACAAACAAACAAACAAACAAACAAACAAACUAUCUUUGUACAAGAUACUAUUAAAGCCAGAAAGAAACCCAGGCCUAUUAGCAACGGAAAAAUCUCUUGCCUUUGGUCUGGGACUGUCCGUGCAUGAUGAAUGGAGUAUCUCCAUAUAAAUCUGGAUUGUGGAAUUCAAAGGAGGAUCAAAAGUAUUGGGGCUGACUCACGAGGUAUGGCUGAAGGAGAAUAGCGAGGCUCCUGGGACACGGGUGAUACUGUGAAUGCACCACACGCUGCCUGAGACUUGAGGGCUUAAGUCCCCCAGUUGAGGAACAGUGAGGCUGCCUAGUCUGAAGAGGGGGAGUAAGACAGACUGACACACAAUCAAUGAAACUCGGACGCAGUUGCAGACGGUGCUUUUGGUUUCAGAGAGGCAGGGACAGAUCUCAGGUGUGAACUGCACAUUACUAGACAUGGAGUCAUAUCACAUACAGGGACGGACGGAUUUCAACGGCAUUUUGAAGACAGCAUGAAGCUGACGUGCUUGCGAUAUCACCAGGAGGACAGGGUAUAGAGAACGGUCCACCUGUUCAUGAAUACAUUCAUUCACAAAUGUUCAUGGUUUCCUCCUGCGCUUGAAGGAAGGCACAGAUAUCCAUAUGGAAAAACGAAAGCAUCGCCUUCCAGGAGGCCAGCAACACAGGAAGCCCGACUUGCUCUGAUCUCAACAUGAUCUCCAGAGAGUGGCAGAGCGGACACUGAGUCCUUAGUGGGCGCCCGAAUGGUGCAGAAAUGUUUCUACUCUAGUGACUUGCCAGAAACAGACGACCACAAAGAUUAGAACUUGAUACAAGGUACGUUAUUUAGGAGAUGAUGACUCCAACUGAUAUUGGGGAACCUCCAGAGAAGUUCCAGGUUCCUAUGAGCAAGCUGCAGGGUUGCAAGAGAAACAAGACAGUUGGUAAAGAGAUAACACAUGUAGAGGAGUAUGGGAGGGGGAAAAAGGGUGGCACAUGACCAACUCAGAAGGACCCAUGGCACAGGAUGAGGCUGAGAGACCUAAGCGAGAAACACGAGGUUAAGCAGAGGACCAGGUUCCAAGGUGAAACACAUCAAUCUGGUCAGCUGCAGCUGCUUUGAGUCCUUGCUGGUCCUGCAGUCCUGCCGCAUUCCUUUCUGCACUUAGGAGAUCCCCUUUCGAAGUGUGCUAAUCGCUCCUCUCCCAUAGUAGCCGUUAAUUAGCAUUGCUCAUGAUCAGAUGCUGUUCUCCAGGUCUUGAUGCCUCCCCAUACAUCUCAUACCCAAUCAUGUAAUGCAAAGACUGAGAAACCUCUAUUUGCAGUUUUUUUCUUUUAAAAACCCUAGACUCCCUAGUCGCUCAACUAACCCACUGCUUCAGGGAAGGUUUACAUCUUGAGUUCGAAUAAACCCUCGUGUGAAUUACAUUAGAGUCCAGUCCUGGUGGUCUUUAGGCUCUCCCAGUCUGGGCAUUACAAGGCUUUUUGGGCUCUUUUAGACAAGCACCAACUUUUUCACACUCUAAAAUGCAUGUAAUUCGAAAUAAGUUUAACUUCAGGUAUUACAUAUCCCAGCUUCUGAAACCUCUGCCAAUACAUUUUAGUAUUAUAAUUAGAUAGAAGCUGCCUUCUGACAUCUAGAAUGCUCCUACUCCUGAGCCUCAUGCCUCUUUUCCCUGGCUAGGCCAGGGGUCUUUUAGCAUUCCUCUUUGCCAGGUUGUUAUAAUUUUAUGAGGCUUUCUGCCAGUCAAGUGGAAGCUCUCACUCUCCACCCUACUCUCCUACUUCAGUGACACCAUGGAACACCCACAGGAGAGCAGAGAAGAGCUGAAUGGGAAUGAAGACAUUUGAAACAUGUGCGUGUUAAAGAAUAACUGGAAACCCAUUCCCCGGGGUCAUUUUGUAGACUUUAAAUCGUCUAAAGAAGACUGACUGAGGACGCCCUCUACAUCUAGCAGCAUUUAAGAUACGUUCAUUCCUAUACACUGUAGACCGUUCAGAGAGACACCAGAUGAUAGGACUGCAGGUAGAUGAGGGAAAGGCUAGAAGAAAGCAGGCCGAAGGCCCUGAUAUGUGCUGAUACGAUGUGGGUAGGGAAACAGCUAUGUGUGCUGUGGCCAUACAGAGUUUGUUUUAAAGGCCAAGCAUGGGACAAAUCAACCAAUGACCUUGCACUGACCUCUUCGACCAGAGCUUCUCAGGCAUGAGCUCCUCUCUGUGACAUGGUGGGUAGAGUAAAGACUGGUAGACUAGUCAUUUUGAGUUCUACAGUAACAAUGUUAGAGAACUCUUGGUUUUGACUAGACCCUUCUGAUGUAAAGGAAUCAGGCAGCAGGUAAUAAAGAAGAGAAAUGUGAAACAGAGUAAUAAAACCAUGCUGAGGGACAAAUGAUGAUGACUGUCUCCUAUCCUGGGAUCAGUUCUUCACCACUUCCAGCAAACCACCGAUUAAUAUGUUCAGAGCUCUUACUAUGAAUUGAGCUUAGAAUUUCAAUGUUAAAGAAAUGCAAUGAGAAUUCAAUGCCACCAUAUAUCUGAAAGAGCUUUGCAAAAUUUAGAUAAAUAUGUAGGUUCACCAUUAUCCAGAAUUCAAAUUAUUUUGAUGUUUUAUAAAAUUAGAAUGUGUGUCUUUUAGUUUAAGUAUUCCAACUAUAUUUAUUUAAACAACAUAAAAUAAAAAGUUUUAACAUCAAAUAAAAAUUUCCUAACAUUAAAAGGCACUUACUUUUUGCUUAACAUAAAUUAUGAAAAGUAGUUUUUAAAUAAGAAAUUGAGAUUAAAAAAAAAGAAGGAGUUACUCAGGUAAGGCCAUGCCUAAAGAAGGCUUACUCUAGGCUGAAGCCAUUUCAAUGAUAUGCAAAAUAUUGCAGAUACAGGGCUAAUUAGAGUCUUCUACAUUUCAAACUAACAUUCCAGGAAUGUUUAGAACAAAGGAACACAUCAAUGUAUUCAGUUUGAUCAUAUUUUCCUUUUUACUGCACAAGAAACUUGGUGUGAGAAAUAUUUUACAUUUAAAAGAUCAAACGAUUUGCAAGUCCGUCUCCAGGUGUGAAGAGCGAGGAGAAGGUGUCAGCAGCCAAUUAACCUUUCUACACAACACUCCUUUCCUUCUCAACCAGAAGGCUGGAUUUCCUCCUCCAUAUGCUCAAGAUUUGGGCUACUUUUAUGGUUGCUUGUCAAAUUCAAAUAUAAGGGAUCCUAAACCCUCAAGAUGAUAACGGGUAGUGACAGUAGAUCAAAGGAAACGAUUGCUAUAAUGUUUACAUCUUUAAUCUAACUUUAUCAAGUUAUAUCCCCAUGAUGCUAUGAAACAAUGAUACAGGGAAAGCCUACAAGUGAUUAAUCAAAGUUUAUAAGCAUUAGCAUAUGGAAUGUGCUUUUUGAAUGUCAAGUAAAAGAUUAACAAACAAAAAACAACACAAGCUAUUGGUUGUUAUUUCUUGGAAAUUGCUUAGGGAAUAACACAAAAGAGAUAUCAGACCUCAGUAAAUAGAAGGUUGGAAAAAGCUCCAAGAGUUUUCUUCUUAUAAAAGAGAGUACCUUACACACUUAAAUGAUUUAAUUUGUUCUGAAGCUGUUGUAAUAUGAAGGUCUGGAGUGUACAUUGUAAACGCAUCACUUGUGACAAGUCCUGCCUGUGUUGUACAUGUUGAAGGCACAUACUGUAACAUGUAAACUGUGAUAAGACCAGCCAAUGUUGUAGAUAUGACAAGCUGAUGCACUGUUUAGAAUUUGGUGAUGGUGGAAAACUGAAAUACUGUGGAUGUACAGGCAAAUUAUCUUGGCCUGCUUUUAUUCCCUCAAUAACUAUUCAAUGUCCACCUCGGUGUCUGACCUCACCUUUCUGUGGCCAUUUCCAAAUCCUUUUGUGAUAUAUUAACCAGUUGCUAGCUUUCACCUACCCAAACUCUAAGGAUGUCAUCAUCAGAGGGGCUCUCCUAGCACAGACAUCCAUUUGUCUCCACCCCUGCUACCCAAUGGUUCUACCAAAUAAUUUUUAAGUGCUUUGAUUUAUGCUUUUCUCUUGUUUCGUAACUAUAAAAACUUCAUGAAACUGUUUCCAUAUUGAAACAUGGUAUUUAUGGCCAUCUAAAUCUGUACUUCUGUGCACAACUGCUCAGAGUUAGUUAAAGAAUAAACUGUCUUUUAUCUCUCUUGAGGUGUGAGCUAUAUAUUUUGUUAAAAGUAUACAUUGUAGGAUGACUAAAUUGAGCUAAUUAGCAUACACAUCCCUAUUUUUGUGGUUAAAAACAAUCAUUCUCGGCACUGUACAAAGACACGAUAUUUAGAAAAGUUGGUGUUCAGAAUGUAAGUUUGCCAGAAAGACACAGACAUUCGAUUAAACUCAAAUUUUAGAUAAUGAAUUUCAUUAGUGUAUACUAAGGAAGAUGUUGUUUAUCUGAAUUCAAAUGUAAGUGACCAUGUAGUAUUUUCUGUGCUAAAGCUUAUAAUUCUACAUUAUGUAAAACUAUGUAUAUGUAUGUAAUUAUUUGUGAUAAUUUUCAAGUUUUAUGGCAGAGAUGGACAGGAUGUUUUAUCACUUAACAAUCCCUUUCAAAUUAAGUGAUCUCCAAAGAGUCAGUACUACUUACUGUUAGAGACUCAGCCAGCCUAUAGAAAAUUUAACUAUCCAGAAAGGUCAACAUUCCCCCUUUUUUUGUGCAUAGCUGUUAUAACUGUUUGGCCAAAGUUAUUUUAUAUCUCAAUGGGACUUUUGUGGAUAAAGCACUAUCAGGUACCUUUCAGCUAAUUCCGACUUUCAAGUGGGUCAAAUAAACACUGAGAUAAUUAUAUCGUUCUUUUAACAGCAGCUUACCAGUUUCUGCUGACUUGAGUACAUUAAAAUGAAACUUGACUGUGGUAUUCAUCUCACUGGUAGUCCUGGUGAUUUCCUUGUUCUGGGAGGCCAGCUAGUUUCAGGCUCCAGCUUACAAGCCCUCUAACUUCACAUACCGGGUCUUGGAAAUGCCUUUUCGAGCACAGCCACUGGUGACGGCAGAUGAAAGGCUGAGCCUUGGCAAAGUCUAAACACUCAGGGCUCUGACUCCUCAGGAAUGUUCUUCCUUUUAAAGUUUUGGUCGCUACCAGUUGUUUUGAUGAGAUAACAAGAAGCCAAGAUUCCUCAGGGAUUCAGCACUGUCUAAGAUUAAAUCUAGAAUACUUAUUUGUAAGCCAAAGGCAAAUUUUGUGUUCUUGGAGCAAAGGACAAGGCCACUAUUAUACAGGGCAAUUAAGGUAAAUAUUUCAGCAAUGAUUAUUUGAAUAAAACAUCUUAGAAAAAAGAAAAGGAUGUUACAGAGUCUGUAACUUUAAGCAUUAUAGUUAGACUUAAGCUUCCUGACAGACUGGGAAAAAUAUGGAACCAUAAUCAGUAGCAUCAUUUUUCUUAUAUGAUGAAAAAAGGAUGCAUGAAAUUUCUUUUUUUGAGCAAUAUGUUUCUUCAUGUACUCAAAGUCUGAACCAUGGUGAGGAACAACAUGUAGUGUAGACAGGGGUUGGCCCAGCAACUGCUUCUCUCCAUGCACCGUCAUACAUAGUCAGCAAUGUGACUAGAUAAGGUGGGAAGCCCAUCACAGGCAGGAACAGUGAAGAACAAUGGAGAAACGCCAUCUGCUAGAUCAGGUGACUGUCCCAUCUGUCCAAUUUGUUUCCCUUCAUUUAGUCCUAUCUCAGUGAUGGUGAUUAGAUGUUUGGAAGAGAAAAAGUCAUAGAUACUAAAGAUCCUGACCUGUCACAAGAAUAAACAGAACUUGUUAAUGCUAAUUAUAUGAAUAUAUACAUAUGGAAAAUACACAUUUUAAACAUUGCUUUCCGAAACCUAUCAGCGUGGGUUUGAGAAUGGGCUAAAACAUAGUGAGGGAAGA
rnacentral:sRNA from 1 species